rnacentral:tRNA from 1 species
GGUUCGGUGGUGUAGUUGGUUUAUCACGUCAGUCUAACAUCUUUCCUCGCUCUCGAGUCAAGAGUUCACUGAAGGUCGGGAGUUCGAGCCUCCCCUGAAUCA